rnacentral:rRNA from 1 species
UACGUAGGGUGCGAGCGUUGUCCGGAAUUAUUGGGCGUAAAGGGCUCGUAGGCGGUUUGUCGCGUCGGGAGUGAAAACAUCGGGCUUAACUCGAUGCUUGCUUUCGAUACGGGCAGACUUGAGGUAUGCAGGGGAGAAUGGAAUUCCUGGUGUAGCGGUGAAAUGCGCAGAUAUCAGGAGGAACACCGGUGGCGAAGGCGGUUCUCUGGGCAUUACUGACGCUGAGGCGCGAAAGCUAGGGGAGCAAACGGG